rfam:Dipodomys ordii contig_72753, whole genome shotgun sequence.
GGGGAGGUGGCUCAGUGGCAGAGCACUUGCCUUGCAUGCAUGAGGCCCUAGGUUUGAGUCCUCAGCACCA